UCGAUCUAAAUCCGCUUCGCUUGUAGCGGUAGGCUCCCAAAAGUAUUUCCUCCCCGCCGUUCCCCUCUACGAUACCGCCGCCGCCAGCCGCCUCUCUCAUCCGGAACCCGUCUGCCGCUGCUACCCUCUUCUACGCGUGGGAGGGCGCCGUGCCGCUGUCUGCCUGCUGGCCGCCCCUCCUCGUCCAACUGCCCGAGGUAACUGCCGCCGCUUUCUUCCUCCACGGCACCACCUGGGUAGCCGGCGCCGCCCACAGCCGCUGACAUAUUCCUCCUCACGCAAGAGGGCCACUGAUGUGGUGCUGUCGUCCGUCGUGACUCGUGAAGGGGAGACAGACAUAAGGGGUGAAGCUUGGCUGAUGAUUCAACAUUAGAAGACUGCAAUGAACAAGAGGCCACUUAAGAAAUGCCAUAGAACAAUCAACGACAGAAAAAUAUGGACUGAAGGAAAUUAUUCUGGGAGCUGAUGUGUGAAAGUAGUUAGUUUUGCCUCAUGUCUGUAGCCUUUCUUUGUAAGAUGCACUAAAGUAGCUGGGUAGUCUGUAUAUAGUUAAGAGUUUGCAGGGACAGUAGUCAUAGAUGCUACAAAUUUGAACCCCCUUUUGGUUCAAAUAGCAAAGAAACUCAUAUCUGUACAAUAUAUUUCUUUUAUCACCUGGCGUGUUGGAUGUUAUGAAAUCUGCAAAGUGAUU